UGGCAGAAUGUCAUAGAUGUUUGUCUUCA
rnacentral:piRNA from 1 species